rnacentral:rRNA from 1 species
UGGUGGAGUGAUUUGUCUGGUUAAUUCCGUUAACGAACGAGACCUCGACCUGCUAAAUAGUUCGUCGAAUCUUUUUUGUAUUCGGUUCGCACUUCUUAGAGGGACUAUUCGGUGUCUUUAGCCAAUGGAAGUUCGAGGCAAUAACA